rnacentral:rRNA from 1 species
GUUCUCCUACGGGGGGCAGCAGUGGGGAAUAUUGGGCAAUGGGCGCAAGCCUGACCCAGCAAUGCCGCGUGAAGGGAGAAGGCCCUCGGGUUGUAAACUUCUUUUAUCAGGGACGAAGGAUGUGACGGUACCUGAUGAAUAAGCUCCGGCUAACUACGUGCCAGCAGCCGCGGUAAUACGUAGGGAGCGAGCGUUGUCCGGAAUUACUGGGUGUAAAGGGAGCGUAGGCGGGGAUGCAAGUUGGGUGUCAAAACUACCGGCUCAACUGGUAGUCGCACUCAAAACUGCAA